ACUCAAAGGAAUAGACGGGGGCCCGCACAAGCAGCGGAGCAUGUGGUUUAAUUCGAAGCAACGCGAAGAACCUUACCUAGACUUGACAUACCUUGAAUAACCUGUAAUGAGGGAAGCCCGCAAGGGCAAGGAUACAGAUGGUGCAUGGUUGUCGUCAGCUCGUGUCGUGAGAUGUUGGGUUAAGUCCCGCAACGAGCGCAACCCCUAUAGUUAGUUGCCAGCAAUGAGAUGGGCACUCUAACGAGACUGCCUAGGUUAACUAGGAGGAAGGUGGGGAUGACGUCAAAUCAUCAUGCCUCUUACGUCUAGGGCUACACACGUGCUACAAUGGUGACAACAAAGAGAAGCGAGAUAGUGAUAUGGAGCAAAACUUAGAAAAGUCAUCUCAGUUCGGAUUGCAGGCUGCAACUCGCCUGCAUGAAGCUGGAGUUGCUAGUAAUCGCGAAUCAGCAUGUCGCGGUGAAUACGUUCCCGGGCCUUGUACACACCGCCCGU
rnacentral:rRNA from 1 species